CUAUUGAGGAAAUGGGUGUCUAGGUGUUCGCCGUCGAGGAAGUGGGUGUCUAGGUGUUCGCCGUCGAAGAAGUGGGUGUUUAGGUGUUAUCUACAUGUUCGCCGUCGAGGAAGUUGGUAUCUAGGUGUUCGCCGUCGAGGAAAUGAGUGUCUAGGUGUCUAGGUGUUCGCCGUCGAGGAAAUGGGUGUCUAGGUGUUCGCCGUCGAGGAAAUGGGUGUCUAGGUGUUUGCCGUCGAGAAAGUGGGCGUCUAGGUGUCCGCCGUCGAAGAAGUGGGUAUCCAGGUGUUGUCUACAUGUUCGCCGUCGAGGAAGUUAGUGUCUAGGUAUUCGCCG